GACAGAGGGUGCAAACGUUGUUCGGAAUUACUGGGCGUAAAGCGCGUGUAGGCGGCCCUGCAAGUCGGAUGUGAAAUCCCACGGCUCAACCGUGGAAGUGCAUUCGAAACUGCAGGGCUAGAGUCCUGGAGAGGAAGGUGGAAUGCUUGGUGUAGAGGUGAAAUUCGUAGAUAUCGUAAGGAAGACCAGUGGCGAAGGCGGGUCUCUGGACAGUUCCUGACGCUGAGGCACGAAGGCCAGGGGAGCAAACGGG
rnacentral:rRNA from 1 species